AUCUGCUUUGCUAGAACUUUUUAUAAGGAAUCUCUAGGUUGAACUUUUAGUAGUCUCUACGGGCCAGAAGUCAAGCCACGUACUUGCCAUCAGGCAUGUCUGCAAUACCUGUCAAUUUGGGCGAAUUUUUCUUCUUGAGACUGCACAUACCAAGG